rnacentral:rRNA from 1 species
AUUGAACGCUGGCGGCAGGCCUAACACAUGCAAGUCGAACGGUAACAGGAAGAAGCUUGCUUCUUUGCUGACGAGUGGCGGACGGGUGAGUAAUGUCUGGGAAACUGCCUGAUGGAGGGGGAUAACUACUGGAAACGGUAGCUAAUACCGCAUAACGUCGCAAGACCAAAGAGGGGGACCUUCGGGCCUCUUGCCAUCGGAUGUGCCCAGAUGGGAUUAGCUAGUAGGUGGGGUAACGGCUCACCUAGGCGACGAUCCCUAGCUGGUCUGAGAGGAUGACCAGCCACACUGGAACUGGGACACGGUCCAGACUCCUACGGGAGGCAGCAGUGGGGAAUAGUGCACAGUGGGCGCAAGCCUGAUGCAGCCAUGCCGCGUGUAUGAAGAAGGCCUUCGGGUUGUAAAGUACUUUCAGCGGGGAGGAAGGGAGUAAAGUUAAUACCUUUGCUCAUUGACGUUACCCGCAGAAGAAGCACCGGCUAACUCCGUG